ACUGCAGACUAAAUAUUGUUGGCUCUGUGUCAAAUUGCUUGUUUUGUUCCUAGAUUCUUCAGUGCUGAUGGCCUGCUGCAUCCAGCAGAGUCGGAGUGAACCUACUGUAAGACAACAUCUCAAAGAUGCUAUUGACCACAAGACUAGUACAGGUUAUUAGAAACUGCACUGCACAGGACUUGCAGGACUUGUGAGGACUUCAGAUGAUACCAGUACUCAAAAGACCUUAGAUGAUGGCAACUAUAGAUGGACAUACAAACUACUGCCACUGCAAAAAAGAUUCUAAUUUGAAAGAAGUUUAUAAUGCAUGUUCGCUACUUCCAAUUCAGAAGACUGAAUCAGCCUGUGUAUCUGAAUGUUUCUCAUACUCACUCCUCUCUGCCGCGUCU